rnacentral:rRNA from 1 species
GACGAACGCUGGCGGCGUGCUUAACACAUGCAAGUCGAACGCUGAAGCUCAGCUUUUGUUGGGUGGAUGAGUGGCGAACGGGUGAGUAACACGUGAGUAACCUGCCUCCUUCUUUGGGAUAACGCCCGGAAACGGGUGCUAAUACUGGAUAUUCACUGGUCUUCGCAUGGGGGUUGGUGGAAAGGGUUUUUCUGGUGGGGGAUGGGCUCGGGGCCUAUCAGCUUGUUGGUGGGGGGAUGGCCUACCAAGGCUUUGACGGGUAGCCGGCCUGAGAGGGUGACCGGUCACAUUGGGACUGAGAUACGGCCCAGACUCCUACGGGAGGCAGCAGUGGGGAAUAUUGCACAAUGGGCGCAAGCCUGAUGCAGCGACGCCGCGUGAGGGAUGGAGGCCUUCGGGUUGUGAACCUCUUUCGCUCAUGGUCAAGCCGCAACAAUGGUUGUGGUGAGGGUAGUGGGUAAAGAAGCGCCGGCUAACUACGUG